CAAUGAUUUGACACAAAUGGUUAUUUUGUUUCUUGCACACAGAUUUUAGUGGAGCAUGUGCAAUUCUUGCCCCAAAGUGGAUAUUUAAUCCCACCACCAAGAGCAGUGCUGAAGGAAAUGGAAUUAUUUGUAUCGUUGAUUUGUUAUUUUAUGUUUAGUAUUGUCGAUAGUGUUGCUGUUAAUGGAUAACUGCUAAAAUAAAUCAGCCUCUAAAAAAUGCUUUUUUUUAUUUUUAUUUCCCCUUCUUCUUCUCAGGUACUCCUGCACUUAAAGAAAUUUUUGAAACACAAUAACC